UGGGGAAUAUUGCACAAUGGGCGCAAGCCUGAUGCAGCCAUGCCGCGUGUGUGAAGAAGGCCUUCGGGUUGUAAAGCACUUUCAGCGAGGAGGAAGGCAUUGUGGUUAAUAACCGCAGUGAUUGACGUUACUCGCAGAAGAAGCACCGGCUAACUCCGUGCCAGCAGCCGCGGUAAUACGGAGGGUGCAAGCGUUAAUCGGAAUUACUGGGCGUAAAGCGCACGCAGGCGGUUUGUUAAGUCAGAUGUGAAAUCCCCGCGCUUAACGUGGGAACUGCAUUUGAAACUGGCAAGCUAGAGUCUUGUAGAGGGGGGUAGAAUUCCAGGUGUAGCGGUGAAAUGCGUAGAGAUCUGGAGGAAUACCGGUGGCGAAGGCGGCCCCCUGGACAAAGACUGACGCUCAGGUGCGAAAGCGUGGGGAGCAAACA
rnacentral:rRNA from 1 species